UUAAACAGAAAAAUAAAAUGCGUCGAAUUCAUCUCAUUUCAAUUACCGAUGCAGCAAAGCGUUUGAUGCGAGACUGAUAAGCUUUCAACAUUAGCUCCUGCCAUGUCACAACAAAUUUACACACAAAAUCAAUAAAUCUGCAGCUUUGAUCUUUUUAGUUUUGUUUACCUGCCAGUCGAUAGUUGGGUAGUUGUUUAGUAACAAGCUCUACAAUGUUCUCCUCGUUUAAAUUAUCCCUGCUUUUAUUUUGCAUUUUGAACAUUCAACAAUUUUUGUCACAAAAUGUAAAAGAUAAAAUAAGGAAAAAUCCCAACAGCAAAAAAUAUGUUAAAAUCGUGUGUCCUGCAAACAAACUUGAAGCGAAGAAACCUGUGGUCUACGAAACUUCUUUAGAAGAGGACUUCAUUCCGGAAGCAGCUCUCCUUCUAAUGAUGCUCACGGGAUUAAAUAUUGUGACGUCGCUUUUAGGCGUUUUUUGUGUAUUUACGUUAUUGUACACUUAUUUGUGUUACGAGUUCGAUCUUGAAUCCAUUCCUCUGCCUGUAUUUUUCACAGCUACUGUAGCCGCAUUGAUGUUCAUGUGGUACACAAGUUCCUUUGAAGAUCCGAGAAAGUUAGAAAAAUAUCAGGAUUUGUGGCUCUUGAAAAAACACCAGUAACGCACUUAGUUACGAGCAAAAAUGGCCCUUAAUAUUAUAGCGACAAUAAAGCAAAGUUAUAAAAAUGUGAUUUGGAAAAUGACAAAAUGAGCUGUUCCCUCCAAUGUUUGAUGUAAAAAUUGUGAUUCCUACCAAAGGUGAUAAUCUUGCUUGUGUACGCAAGCACUCUUCGAUGUGCCGCAACUCUGGACAAAAACAUAAAAAUAAAAUACGCUAUGUUAUUGCAUGCAAAAAAAUUGUAUACAGUUAAACAUGAUAAUAAAAAUGUAACUGAGUGUAUGUAAAAGCAAUAAUAGCAAAUACGAGGGCCAUAUUUCAAAUUCAUUAAAUACACACUUGUUCUUGGUGUUACACAGAAUUACAAAAUUUUACUCACAGAGCUACAAUAUAUAAGACAAUAGGUUUGGUUAACUUUGAUAUCAUUUUUCCGUUAAACUUAUAAGCCAAUCGAAUUUUGAAAAAAAAUACCCUCGUAGGUGAUUGCUCAUAAACUUGUAAAAUAAUGUUAUAUAACUUGAAUUGUAUAUAUUUGUCUAGGGGACAGCAGCUAUAUUUGUAACAAUUUUAAUUUUAUGUGUAAUAAAAAAAUACCCCGAUGUAGGCUAAACAUUCAGCUUUAAAGGAAAAUAGUAUUAUUUAUGAUGAUCGUUCCAUUAAUUAGAAAAAAAAUAUGAAAAAUUAUUUUUUCAGUAUAAAGAAAAUCAAUAAUGCAUGUUAGACACAAACAUUAUUAGAAAUUAAUAAAAUAGCAAUUUUUCGGUUGUUUUAAGAAAUAUAGAAACAAAAUAUCUUCCCAUCUUUAUCAAGAACUCAACAUAUCUCUAUUGGUAAUUAAGGAUUAAGAUUCCACUACCAACAAAAAUGAUCGUUAAUAAAAAUAUUCGUACCGCGUUACAAUUGUACCCACUCUCCCCUAGUCUUAAUAGGGAUACAAAAAAUAUUGUUGAGUGAAACAUGACAAUAAAAAUAUAACUACGUGUAUAUUCAUAUUUAUCUAUAAAAAAAACAACAGGAGAUGAAUACAGCGUUUUUUGCUUAAACUAUUUACUAUCUGCGUGAUUAAUGUUUUUUUAGUUUUUUUUUCCGUUUUUGGGUUAUGUAAUGAAUAAUAAUAAUAACCAUAAAACAAAGUGCGGAACAAAAACAUGAUCACAUUAUUUACAGCCCUUUACUUGCAUCAUACGCAUACAGUUUAAACAAAAGGCGCUGAGUGUAUGUAUUUUUAGACACGAAGGCUGUUCUAAUAAAAAAAAUGGAAAAUAUACAUUUCCAAAACGUAAAGUCCCCAGACAAAUUGAUAUUAUAAAGUUUGAUACAAAUAUUAGAAACACCACUUCAUAAAAAAAGUGCUAAAAAUUUGGGGAUUGUAUGACCGUUAAAUAUGUUACCGAAUUAAAAAAAAUGAUUAUUUUUACUAAUAGUAAGAGUAAAAAUAAUGCAUUUUUAUUGUUUGUUGUGUGUUUGUGUCAAAACUAAAUAUAUAUUUAUGAACAUCAA